rnacentral:rRNA from 1 species
GUGUACCCGCGGCAAGACGGAAAGACCCCGUGAACCUUUACUAUAGCUUGACACUGAACAUUGAGCCUUGAUGUGUAGGAUAGGUGGGAGGCUUUGAAGUGUGGACGCCAGUCUGCAUGGAGCCGGCCUUGAAAUACCACCCUUUAAUGUUUGAUGUUCUAACGUGGACCCGUGAUCCGGGUUGCGGACAGUGUCUGGUGGGUAGUUUGACUGGGGCGGUCUCCUCCUAAAGAGUAACGGAGGAGCACGAAGGUUGGCUAAUCCUGGUCGGACAUCAGGAGGUUAGUGCAAUGGCAUAAGCCAGCUUGACUGCGAGCGUGACGGCGCGAGCAGGUGCGAAAGCAGGUCAUAGUGAUCCGGUGGUUCUGAAUGGAAGGGCCAUCGCUCAACGGAUAAAAGGUACUCCGGGGAUAACAGGCUGAUACCGCCCAAGAGUUCAUAUCGACGGCGGUGUUUGGCACCUCGAUGUCGGCUCAUCACAUCCUGGGGCUGAAGUAGGUCCCAAGGGUAUGGCUGUUCGCCAUUUAAAGUGGUACGCGAGCUGGGUUUAGAACGUCGUGAGACAGUUCGGUCCCUAUCUGCCGUGGGCGCUGGAGAACUGAGGGGGGCUGCUCCUAGUACGAGAGGACCGGAGUGGACGCAUCACUGGUGUUCGGGUUGUCAUGCCAAUGGCACUGCCCGGUAGCUAAAUGCGGAAGAGAUAAGUGCUGAAAGCAUCUAAGCACGAAACUUGCCCCGAGAUGAGUUCUCCCUGACCCUUUAAGGGUCCUGAAGGAACGUUGAAGACGACGACGUUGAUAGGCCGGGUGUGUAAGCGCAGCGAUGCGUUGAGCUAACCGGUACUAAUGAACCGUGAGGCUUAACCUU